rnacentral:snRNA from 1 species
GGAUGUGAUUGCCAUCUGACUGGGAUAUCCCUCACCUAUCUGAUUGCUGAGGUUGAUUCAACUGAUCUCUUUGGCUAGGCGGGUGUGCUCUGUCUCAUCACUUCCCGUGUGUCCCUCCCAAAGUUCUGCAUUCAGUGGAAGAAGAUGGCUUCCUCCAUAGAGGAGGACCAUUCUUUGAUCAAAGGUGGACAAGAAGCUGUCUUACCAUACUCGAGCAUCCAAACAAGCUGGGAAGGUCCAUUUGUAGGCAAAGGUAGGAGAGUCAAGCUUCUCAGACUCCAGACACAUCCAAAUGAGCCCUGCAUGAGACAGGCUGCCUUUAUUU